UGUCACGGAGAGUGCAGGGCUGUCGCUGACCUUCAAAGGUUGUGCACGCCCAAGCGCUCUCUCACAUCCUUCUCACCCCUUUGUGCAUCACCGCGUGGGCCCCUCUUUGCGGAGAAGGCCUGCGUUUUCACAUAAAACUUGAUACAGUGUAGAAUGUCUUUUUGCGGUCACACGCAAUCAAUACAACUUUCAACAACGGAUCUCUUGGCUCUCGCAUCGAUGAAGAACGCAGCGAAAUGCGAUACGUAAUGUGAAUUGCAGAAUUUAGUGAAUCAUCGAAUCUUUGAACGCACCUUGCGCCCCUUGGCAUUCCGAGGGGCACACCCGUUUGAGUGUCGUGAAAUUCUCAAAACCUUUUCUUUGAGAAAAGGAUUUUGGACUUGGAGGUUUUUAUGCUUGCUUUCGUGUCUCGAAAGUGAGCUCCUCUCAAAUGAAUUAGUGGGGUCUGCUUUGCUGGUCCUUGACGUGAUAAGAUGUUUUGACGUUUUGGACUUGGCACUGUCUCUUGGAUGCCUGCUUCUAACUGUCCAUCUCAUGGACAAUGAUGGUGCUCUGGUCUCUUCCAUCCACAUUGGCGGGAGGCUGGACCCACAAAAAACCUUGACCUCAAAUCGGGUGAGACUACCCGCUGAACUUAAGCAUAUCAAAACGGGAAGAAAAA
rnacentral:rRNA from 1 species